CCUACGGGGGGCAGCAGUGAGGAAUAUUGGUCAAUGGGCUUACGCCUGAACCAGCCAAGUCGCGUGAGGGAAGACUGCCCUAUGGGUUGUAAACCUCUUUUGUCAGGGAGCAACGCCGGCUACGUGUAGCCGGACUGAGAGUACCUGAAGAAAAAGCAUCGGCUAACUCCGUGCCCGCAGCCGCGGUAAUACGGAGGAUGCGAGCGUUAUCCGGAUUUAUGGGGUGUAAAGGGUGCGUAGGCGGAAUGCCAAGUCAGCGGUAAAAUCGCGGGGCUCAACCUCGCGCCGCCGUUGAAACUGGCGUUCUUGAGUGGGCGAGAAGUAUGCGGAAUGCGUGGUGUAGCGGUGAAAUGCAUAGAUAUCACGCAGAACUCCGAUUGCGAAGGCAGCAUACCGGCGCCCAACUGACGCUGAAGCACGAAAGCGUGGGUAUCGAACAGGAUUAGAUACCCUUGUAGUC
rnacentral:rRNA from 1 species